AUUACUAGUGACAUUGACAUUUCAUUUAUUAGCUUAUAUUCUCUUCGCUUCGGUGUAUAGGUUAUUUUUUAGUUGUACACCGCGAUCAAGACGAAGAGAAAAAUUAAAAAAAUUAAUGUGAAUUUGUUAAUUAAUAUCAUUGCAUGCAAUGAAUUGAUCACUGCAUGUCGUAUUAAUUACUCUUAAGUCAUUAAAAAUAUACAC
rnacentral:lncRNA from 1 species